rnacentral:rRNA from 1 species
UACGGGGGGGGCAAGUGUUGUUCGGAAUUACUGGGCGUAAAGGGCUCGUAGGCGGCCAACUAAGUCGGACGUGAAAUCCCUCGGCUUAACCGGGGAACUGCGUCCGAUACUGGAUGGCUUGAGUUUGGGAGAGGGAUGCGGAAUUCCAGGUGUAGCGGUGAAAUGCGUAGAUAUCUGGAGGAACACCGGUGGCGAAGGCGGCAUCCUGGACCAACACUGACACUGAGGAGCGAAAGCCAGGGGAGCAAACGGG